GACGAACGCUGGCGGCGUGCUUAACACAUGCAAGUCGAACGGUAAGGCCCUGCUUUUGUGGGGUGCUCGAGUGGCGAACGGGUGAGUAACACGUGAGUAACCUGCCCUUGACUUUGGGAUAACUUCAGGAAACUGGGGCUAAUACCGGAUAGGAGCUCCUGCUGCAUGGUGGGGGUUGGAAAGUUUCGGCGGUUGGGGAUGGACUCGCGGCUUAUCAGCUUGUUGGUGGGGUAGUGGCUUACCAAGGCUUUGACGGGUAGCCGGCCUGAGAGGGUGAACGGCCACAUUGGGACUGAGAUACGGCCCAGACUCCUACGGGAGGCAGCAGUGGGGAAUAUUGCACAAUGGGCGGAAGCCUGAUGCAGCAACGCCGCGUGCGGGAUGACGGCCUUCGGGUUGUAAACCGCUUUCGCCUGUGACGAAGCGUGAGUGACGGUAAUGGGUAAAGAAGCACCGGCUAACUACGUG
rnacentral:rRNA from 1 species